UCGUGUGUGGUGAUGAUGCAAUUUUUCGUGGACUAGAGUUUCUGAUCUUGCAUUUGACGAAACAACCCUUGGCUGUCUGAGCACACUC